CGUUAGCGCGUGAAGUUGCUCGCGCGAUCUGUGUAGCUAACUCGCCAUUUUGGACUCCUUCUUGCUGCGUUAAUAAUACACGGGCUGCGAGCGUCUAUUCAAUUUCUUCGUUUUUUUCGCAGCGUUUGUUCAUCGCGGUGAUCCCUCGCAUAAGACAGGUUGUGUGAGUUAAUGAACGGUGACGACGCGAGAGAAGAAGUAGGAGACCCAGGAAGUAUCGGUCAGCAAAAAGAUGGACAGGUUGUGCGAGCCAGUUAAUAUAAUAGUAACGGAGUGACGAGAAAGGAGAAAUAGGAAGAGAAGAUUUGAGCGGCAUUGACCGACAGCGUAAACAGGUUGAAUGAGCGAGUUAGAAUGGCAAUGGGAAGACGAAAGAGGAGGAGGAGGAGAAGCCUGGAAAGUAUCAAGCGACAGC